UAUAGGGUAGGCGUAGCGAAAGCGAGUCUUAAUAGGGCGUUUAGUCGCUGGGUAUAGACCCGAAACCGGGCGAUCUAUCCAUGAGCAGGUUGAAGGUUAGGUAACACUGACUGGAGGACCGAACCCACUCCCGUUGAAAAGGUAGGGGAUGACUUGUGGAUCGGAGUGAAAGGCUAAUCAAGCUCGGAGAUAGCUGGUUCUCCUCGAAAGCUAUUUAGGUAGCGCCUCAUGUAUCACUCUGGGGGGUAGAGCACUGUUUCGGCUAGGGGGUCAUCCCGACUUACCAAACCGAUGCAAACUCCGAAUACCCAGAAGUGCCGAGCAUGGGAGACACACGGCGGGUGCUAACGUCCGUCGUGAAAAGGGAAACAACCCAGACCGCCAGCUAAGGUCCCAAAGUUGUGGUUAAGUGGUAAACGAUGUGGGAAGGCUUAGACAGCUAGGAGGUUGGCUUAGAAGCAGCCAUCCUUUAAAGAAAGCGUAAUAGCUCACUAGUCGAGUCGGCCUGCGCGGAAGAUGUAACGGGGCUCAAACCACACACCGAAGCUGCGGGUGUCACGUAAGUGACGCGGUAGAGGAGCGUUCUGUAAGCCUGUGAAGGUGAGUUGAGAAGCUUGCUGGAGGUAUCAGAAGUGCGAAUGCUGACAUGAGUAACGACAAUGGGUGUGAAAAACACCCACGCCGAAAGACCAAGGGUUCCUGCGCAACGUUAAUCGACGCAGGGUUAGUCGGUUCCUAAGGCGAGGCUGAAAAGCGUAGUCGAUGGGAAACAGGUUAAUAUUCCUGUACUUCUGGUUACUGCGAUGGAGGGACGGAGAAGGCUAGGCCAGCUUGGCGUUGGUUGUCCAAGUUUAAGGUGGUAGGCUGAAAUCUUAGGUAAAUCCGGGGUUUCAAGGCCGAGAGCUGAUGACGAGUCGUCUUUUAGAUGACGAAGUGGUUGAUGCCAUGCUUCCAAGAAAAGCUUCUAAGCUUCAGGUAACCAGGAACCGUACCCCAAACCGACACAGGUGGUCGGGUAGAGAAUACCAAGGCGCUUGAGAGAACUCGGGUGAAGGAACUAGGCAAAAUGGCACCGUAACUUCGGGAGAAGGUGCGCCGGCUAGGGUGAAGGAUUUACUCCGUAAGCUCUGGCUGGUCGAAGAUACCAGGCCGCUGCGACUGUUUAUUAAAAACACAGCACUCUGCAAACACGAAAGUGGACGUAUAGGGUGUGACGCCUGCCCGGUGCCGGAAGGUUAAUUGAUGGGGUUAGCGCAAGCGAAGCUCUUGAUCGAAGCCCCGGUAAACGGCGGCCGUAACUAUAACGGUCCUAAGGUAGCGAAAUUCCUUGUCGGGUAAGUUCCGACCUGCACGAAUGGCGUAACGAUGGCGGCGCUGUCUCCACCC
rnacentral:rRNA from 1 species